rnacentral:rRNA from 1 species
UACGUUCCCGGACCUUAUACACACCGCCCGUCAAGCCAUGGAAGUUGGGAGGACCUGAAGACAGUUGCCGCGAGGCGCUGUUUAGGGUUAAACCGAUGACUGGGGCU